GUCUUAGUAUUUCUAUUUAUUAUUCUGCUCAUUUUGUUUUUGAAAUUUAAAUUUAAACAUUAAAAUAUUGCAAUACCUCAUACAGAUUCUUUAACGAUGUCUAUAUCACUAACUUGAGAUAAAAAACAACUUUUGCUGGGUUGAAGGUGUACACGGUUAGAAAGCAAACGUUCUAUCAAAUAUCGUUAAAAUACAAUGUUUAAAAAUACUAUCAAAGCAUUCCAAAUAAGUUUCGUUGUGAUAAUUAUGUUACAACUAUUAUCAGUAGUUAUUAAUUGGGAAUGGAUAAAUGAUAUGUUUAUAUCCACGAAGAGACAAAAUGAUAAAGACAGUAAUUUGCCAGUCGGAAGAAAUUUGAAGGAAAAAUAUGCUACCGUUGUAACUGGGUAUUUUGAUAUAGGAUCGUUUCAUAAAGGGAAAAGCCAUUUCCGAAAUCAGAGUUUUUACUACAAAGUAGCGAACAUAUUUUCAUAUCUCCAAAAUUCACUUGUCGUUUACACAGAUUCACCAGUGUUUUUAAAUCAUAUUAAAUAUAUAAGAAAUAAAAAACUAAAUAAAACAAAAAUAAUUUUCUUUGAACGGUCUUCUGCAUGGUCUUUUCAAAUUAUUGAUGACAUAAAACGGAUAUUUAAUAUUGAAGGCUAUACUAGACGAAGCACGAGUAAAGUUUCACCAUUGUACACAUGUGCUAUGCAUUCGAAAUAUUAUUGUUUAAAACAAGCUGCAGAAAACAAUUACUUUAACACAAAAUAUAUAAUGUGGUUGGAUGUUGGAUACUUUUGGAAACUGAAAGCAAAUCAAGCAUUCUUUCUGAAAACGCCAUAUAAGUUUGAUGAUUCACAAAUAGCAAUGAACAAAAUAAAUACUGGUCGUAGUAUACCAUCAAGUCCAGUUGACAUAAUUAAGGAAAGCCAUUUACAAGUUGGAGGCGGAUUAGUGUUUGGUGAAAUGCAAACUAUGAUCAAGUUUUCAUCUCAGUACAGACGAGCAGUCGAAUAUUUUUUGUCAAAGAAUUUAACCAACACAGAUCAACAAAUCUUACAUGCCAUGUUUACACAGGAAGGACGAAAAGCUAUCUGCCCUGAAGUUGAGAUUAAAACAUAUGGAACGGCUGACAAUCGCGACUGGCAUUUCCUAGGUAAUAGUAUGGUGGAGCAUGAAAAUACCUAAUUUUAAAGUGCGGUCUUGUGUUAAUUUUUCUUAUUAAUAUAGCAACUAUAUGUUUUGCUAUAGCAAAUGUACAGUUACAUAUUCACCGACAUAUUCUGAAUGAUGAAGCCGAUUACACCAAACUAUCUGAUAUAGAUCUAGGUGUUUUACGUAUGUUGAUGCUGAACGUAUAUCAGAAAACUCAUCAUUAAUGAAAAAUUUUGUUCGGUACGAAUACAUUUAAAUACAUCAUUACUUACAAGUGACAAAGUCGAAUUAAUUUGAUGUACACUUAAUCGUAAAACUGCACAUAUUCCUGUUCAGAUGCAGUAUCUAAAUAUUAUUAUAAAAUCACAACGGACUUUUUUUUAAGUGUUGUUGAUUGUUUGGAAAGAAAUAUGGAAUGUAUUCGAUGUGUUCUUCGCGAGAAGUUACAUAUACUAGAGACACAGCAUUGAAGCCUGUAGUAAGACAUUUUAUCAAAACUGUUUAGGUCCGAGACCCUAAUAUUUACCAAGUCAGAAUCAUGAAGAAAGAUGAGUGUUAGGCGGCAAAUAUUAUCUAAAUGACUUCGAUUUUCCACUGUUUAAAACACUCAUGUAUAAAGUGCCUGGGAAAAAAGUCUCAAUUAUGUUUGUUAUGUAUAUGUCAUUUUCCCCUUGAGACAAAUCAUUGAUAACUGACCUAGUUUUAAGACAUCAUGUAACUUUUAAUCCAGAAUAUUCUGUUGUGUUCUGUAACAAUACUGAUAAACAGUGUAUGACAGAUAUUAUUUUUUAGGAAAAAAUGUCCUUGAUUUUUUCUAAAAUGUUCUUUUUAUUCUUUGUAUUACUUGAAAUUUCUGGAACCUUCUCUAAUACGCUAUAUAGAGAACUAUGUGUUGUAAGGUUAGAGUCUAAGAACCUAAAAAAUAGGACUUGUAGAUAUUGAUGAAACUUUCCUGUAUUUAUUAUCAAUUUGGAUGUUUGAUAUUUUGAAGAAUUAUUUGAAGGAUUUAUAUUAAAAUUUCUGGAUUUAAAAAGUUACCUUGGAAGAGAGGAAUUAUAAUUUUUGGAUAUACUAAAGUUACUUUUGAACUGUGUGAAACAUUGUGGAAUUUAUUCUAAUUGGAUUAUAUUUGACCUAGACAGGAUUUGGACUAUUUUUACAUAUAAGAUUGGAUUUUACGGCUCUUUGACAUUUUUGAAGCUUCUGCCACCAGACGACUUUUUUACCUGGUAAUGAUGUCACGACCUUGAAGUUCAAUACCUGAGGUUCGCUUUAGUGUACUCGCCUGGAUGAGAUUUCUCAGCGGAGAGAUUUUUGUCCCAUGGUUGUGCCUUAACCGCCAUGACGCUGAUAUUGGUAGACAACUGGGACAGCUCAGGGAUACAAACACCUACCAACACCAGACAUGGGGAACCUAAAAGGAUUGAAUGUUUUCAAAGGAAACACCUGUGAUACCGUGUGAUACGUCAUGAUAGGACUGCGCAUAUUCUGGAAAACAGGUAUUGAGCUCAGAUUAUAUUGUAGUUGUCCUUUCGUUCUUUUCUUCUUAUGAUAUUCUUUUUCUUUAUUCAUUGUAAAUAAUCAUUUCAUGUAAAUAAACUUGUAAAUAUUGAAAUGAGUGUUAAGUUGUUCUUGCAAUUGC